rnacentral:rRNA from 1 species
UACGUAGGGUGCGAGCGUUAAUCGGAAUUACUGGGCGUAAAGCGUGCGCAGGCGGUGAUGUAAGACAGUUGUGAAAUCCCCGGGCUCAACCUGGGAAUUGCAUCUGUGACUGCAUCGCUAGAGUACGGUGAGAGGGGGAUGGAAUUCCGCGUGUAGCAGUGAAAUGCGUAGAUAUGCGGGAGGAACACCGAUGGCGAAGGCAAUCCCCUGGACCUGUACUGACGCUCAUGCACGAAAGCGUGGGGAGCAAACAGG